rnacentral:rRNA from 1 species
GAUGAACGCUGGCGGCGUGCCUAAUACAUGCAAGUCGAACGCACAGCGAAAGGUGCUUGCACCUUUCAAGUGAGUGGCGAACGGGUGAGUAACACGUGGAUAACCUACCUCAAGGUUGGGGAUAACAUUUGGAAACAGAUGCUAAUACCGAAUAAAACUUAGUAUCGCAUGAUACCAGGUUAAAAGGCGCUACGGCGUCACCUAGAGAUGGAUCCGCGGUGCAUUAGUUAGUUGGUGGGGUAAAGGCUUACCAAGACAAUGAUGCAUAGCCGAGUUGAGAGACUGAUCGGCCACAUUGGGACUGAGACACGGCCCAAACUCCUACGGGAGGCUGCAGUAGGGAAUCUUCCACAAUGGGCGAAAGCCUGAUGGAGCAACGCCGCGUGUGUGAUGAAGGCUUUCGGGUCGUAAAGCACUGUUGUAUGGGAAGAACAGCUAGAGUAGGGAAUGACUUUAGUUUGACGGUACCAUACCAGAAAGGGACGGCUAAAUACGUGCCAGCAGCCGCGGUAAUACGUAUGUCCCGAGCGUUAUCCGGAUUUAUUGGGCGUAAAGCGAGCGCAGACGGUUAAUUAAGUCUGAUGUGAAAGCCCGGAGCUCAACUCCGGAAAGGCAUUGGAAACUGGUUAACUUGAGUGCAGUAGAGGUAAGUGGAACUCCAUGUGUAGCGGUGGAAUGCGUAGAUAUAUGGAAGAACACCAGCGGCGAAGGCGGCUUACUGGACUGUAACUGACGUUGAGGCUCGAAAGUGUGGGUAGCAAACAGGAUUAGAUACCCUGGUAGUCCACACCGUAAACGAUGAACACUAGGUG